CCUACGGGAGGCAGCAGUGGGGAAUAUUGGACAAUGGGCGAAAGCCUGAUCCAGCCAUGCCGCGUGUGUGAAGAAGGCCUUCGGGUUGUAAAGCACUUUCAGUGGGGAAGAAAGCCUUGGGGCUAAUACCCUCGAGGAAGGACAUCACCCACAGAAGAAGCACCGGCUAACUCCGUGCCAGCAGCCGCGGUAAUACGGAGGGUGCGAGCGUUAAUCGGAAUUACUGGGCGUAAAGCGCGCGUAGGCGGUCUGAUAAGCCGGUUGUGAAAGCCCCGGGCUCAACCUGGGAACGGCAUCCGGAACUGUCAGGCUAGAGUGCAGGAGAGGAAGGUAGAAUUCCCGGUGUAGCGGUGAAAUGCGUAGAGAUCGGGAGGAAUACCAGUGGCGAAGGCGGCCUUCUGGACUGACACUGACGCUGAGGUGCGAAAGCGUGGGUAGCAAACAGGAGUAGAUACCCGAGUAGUC
rnacentral:rRNA from 1 species